rnacentral:rRNA from 1 species
AUUGAACGCUGGCGGCAGGCCUAACACAUGCAAGUCGAGCGGUAGAGAGGUGCUUGCAUCUCUUGAGAGCGGCGGACGGGUGAGUAAUGCCUAGGAAUCUGCCUGGUAGUGGGGGAUAACGCUCGGAAACGGACGCUAAUACCGCAUACGUCCUACGGGAGAAAGCAGGGGACCUUCGGGCCUUGCGCUAUCAGAUGAGCCUAGGUCGGAUUAGCUAGUUGGUGAGGUAAUGGAUCACCAAGGCGACGAUCCGUAACUGGUCUGAGAGGAUGAUCAGUCACACUGGAACUGAGACACGGUCCAGACUCCUACGGGAGGCAGCAGUGGGGAAUAUUGGACAAUGGGCGAAAGCCUGAUCCAGCCAUGCCGCGUGUGUGAAGAAGGUCUUCGGAUUGUAAAGCACUUUAAGUUGGGAGGAAGGGUCGUUACCUAAUACGUGACGAUUUUGACGUUACCGACAGAAUAAGCACCGGCUAACUCUGUGCCAGCCGCCGCCGUAAUAC